rnacentral:rRNA from 1 species
UACGAAGGGGGCUAGCGUUGUUCGGAAUUACUGGGCGUAAAGCGCACGCAGGCGGUCUUUUAAGUUUCGAGUGACAGGGAAGGGCUUAACCCUUGCAGGCCUUGGAAAACUGGAAGACUUGAGGACGAGAGAGGGACGCGGAAUUCCAGGUGGAGCGGUGAAAUGCGUAGAGAUCUGGAAGAACACCAAAGGCGAAGGCAGCGUUCUGGCUCGUAACUGACGCUCAAGUGCGAAAGCUAGGGGAGCGAACGGG